UCCGUAGGUGAACCUGCGGAAGGAUCAUUACAGAAAGUAAACGCGGAUCAAACCGCGAACUUCUAAACCUUUGACGAUUGACUCAUGUUGCCUCGGCGGGUUCUCCCGCCAGAGGAUACAUCGAAACUCCUGUUUUAACGGUGUUGUCUGAGCUAUAAGCAACGAAUCAAAACUUUCAACAACGGAUCUCUUGGUUCUGGCAUCGAUGAAGAACGCAGCGAAAUGCGAUAAGUAGUGUGAAUUGCAGAAUUCAGUGAAUCAUCGAAUCUUUGAACGCACAUUGCGCCCCUUGGUAUCCCGAGGGGCAUGCCUGUUCGAGCGUCAUUUCACCACUCAAGCCUGGCUUGGUGUUGGGCGACGUCCCCUUUAGGGACGCGCCUCGAAACGCUCGGCGGCGUGGCACCGGCUUUAAGCGUAGCAGGAUCUUUCGCUUUGGAAGUCGGGGCCCCGCCUGCCGGAAUACCUACUCGUAAGGUGACCUCGGAUCAGGCAGG
rnacentral:rRNA from 1 species